UGACCUCAAAUCAGGCAAGAAUACCCGCUGAACUUGA
rnacentral:rRNA from 1 species